UCCGGCAAUAUCGUGUUGAAGCACCGGAUAUCGUGAGAUCUCAGAAGUUAAGCAACAUCGAGCCUGUCAUCUACGUAGAUGGUUGACUGCUAAGGAAUACCAGGAGCUGUAA